UCUCCAGAGCCCUGGCUGUGGCUGUGGGUUUCAGCCUCCGGUGCUGAGGUCACGGCCGGGCACCUCACGGCUGCCCAGCUGUCAGCCUGGCUACCACCGGGGAAGCAAACAGAAUGAAGGCAGUGGUCCAAGGCCCACAGUGGUUCUGACGCUCAAAUAGGUCGUGGCCCGUGUGCCUCAUCGGUUCAUUUUCGGGUUCCUGAAAAGCUGGAGAAAAGGAUCCUUAUCAGACCAAAGCACCGGGCGGGGGUAGGUGCACAUCUCUCCGCCCAAGGACGCAUAACCCUGUCCCUCCCACACAAGCCUGACGGAUGAAAUCCAGACUUAAACGCA